rnacentral:misc_RNA from 1 species
AACGCACAUUGCGCCCUCUGGUAUUCCGGAGGGCAUGCCUGUCCGAGCGUCAUUAUCCCCCCUCAAGCCUAGCUUGGUGUUGGACCUGUGGUCAUUUCUGACCGGUCCCAAAGAUAAUGAUGUGUCCCCGGGACUCCUCGGUGCAAUGAGUUACCACGUAACACGCACCGCAGGAGACCCGGAGACCUGUCCCUCAACCUCAAAUCUUUCCAGGUUGACCUCGGAUCAGGUAGGGAUACCCGCUGAACUUAA